AUUGAACGCUGGCGGCAUGCUUUACACAUGCAAGUCGAACGGCAGCACGGGUGCUUGCACCUGGUGGCGAGUGGCGGACGGGUGAGUAAUACAUCGGAACGUGUCCAGAAGAGGGGGAUAACGCAUCGAAAGAUGUGCUAAUACCGCAUAUACUCUAAGGAGGAAAGCAGGGGAUCGAAAGACCUUGCGCUUUUGGAGCGGCCGAUGUCUGAUUAGCUAGUUGGUGGGGUAAGGGCCUACCAAGGCGACGAUCAGUAGUUGGUCUGAGAGGACGACCAGCCACACUGGGACUGAGACACGGCCCAGACUCCUACGGGAGGCAGCAGUGGGGAAUUUUGGACAAUGGGCGCAAGCCUGAUCCAGCAAUGCCGCGUGAGUGAAGAAGGCCUUCGGGUUGUAAAGCUCUUUCAGUCGAGAAGAAAAGGCUGCAGUGAAUAACUGUAGUUUAUGACGGUAUCGACAGAAGAAGCACCGGCUAACUACGUG
rnacentral:rRNA from 1 species